rnacentral:rRNA from 1 species
AGGAUUAACGCUGGCGGCGUGCCUAACACAUGCAAGUCGAACGAGGUAGCAAUACCUAGUGGCAGACGGGUGAGUAACGCGUGGUCAACCUACCGUUGAGUGGGGGAUAACUAGCCGAAAGGUUAGCUAAUACCGCAUACGAGUCUCGGGGGCAUCCCUGGGCCUUAAAAGGAGCAAUCCGCUCGAUGACGGGACCGCGUCCCAUUAGCUAGAUGGUGGGGUAACGGCCUACCAUGGCACCGAUGGGUAGCUGGUUUGAGAGAGCGACCAGCCACACUGGGACUGAGAAACGGCCCAGACUCCUACGGGAGGCAGCAGUGAGGAAUUUUCCGCAAUGGGCGAAAGCCUGACGGAGCGACGCCGCGUGUGGGAAGAAGGCCUUCGGGUCGUAAACCACUGUCGAAGGGACGAUAAUGACGGUACCCUUGGAGGAGCCCCGGCUAACUACGUGCCAGCAGCCGC